rnacentral:lncRNA from 1 species
CAAGGUUUAGGGCCCAAGGCUGCAGGAAGACAUGGUGAAAUGUUUAGCCAGAAUAACUGAAAACAAUGUCAUUAAGAAUAAAAAGUAAAAAUUGCGAUCAAGAAAAAAAGCAGAAACCAGACCUAGAGAAGCAGUUGCAAACCUCAGGUUUUAGAAGAGAUACAUGUCUGAAGAAAUAAGAUGAUUAACAGCAUUCAAGGUGGUGGCUACACAUCACAUCAGCCUGGAUUCUCAAGUAGGAAGAUAUGCAACAGAGCAUCCAGCUGACCUUCACUGGAUAUGUUCCCUCUAAAGACCCCAGGCAUGCAGCAAUAUGGUGGGGAUGCAUACUACAGCUGAGCUCUGGACAGGAGGUUUUCCAUUUUAUAAGAAACUCAAACCACCAAGAAAACCAGCUUAUCCCACAAAAUAUUUUUACACUUCUCUAGAACUCAGUAAGAGGCCCUCAAUGGAUUGGAUGAUGCCUGUCCACGGUCCACAUCGGUGAGGGUGAUUGUCUUUACUCAGCCUAUUGAUUCAAACACUAAUCUCUUCUGGAAACACUCUCAGACUCACCCAGAAGUAAUGUUUUGCCAGCCAUCGGAGCAUCCUCUGGCUUAGGCAAGUUAACACAUAGAAU